UAUUUUUAGGGCUAACCGUCCAGAAGUACAUUGCUUUAACAAUCUGGAGACAUGACAACCACAUAUUGUUGCUAACCAAUUUGGUGUUGGCAAAUCAGCUGUGCAUGUGUGUGUGUGGGGAAGGAUGGGGGUGGGGGGGAGAGGCAGGAUUUCUGAGCUGUCUGAUUUAUUCAAAGGUUGUGGACAUAAAAUAUGUCCAUGAAGGUUUUUGAACUGCGCCAACGCCACUGAUGGGACACUUGCCCAUAGUUUGCCUUCCUCAAAGAGCACCUUAGUACAUGACCCAUAAAUGGUACUACACUCCAUUGUUACACAGGAACUUCUUGAUAAGAGAGGCCUGUUUUUAGAAGGCAGAAUAGGCUGAACUGAAAAAAAUUCAUGCUGCCAGAGUGUUCUGAUUAUUGGGAGUGUAUAUUCAUGGACAGAUUGGGACACUAUCACCACCAAAUGACAUUGUCAUAAAUGGAGUUUUGUCCACACCAUAGUUUCAGGGGACUCCAGCUAUACCCUUUUGCCUUUGCUUAUGCAGUUGUACCCUGAUGAAUGAUGAUUGUGCUUUUGGCAAAUUGAAAGCCCACUGGCACUGUUGAUAGAAAUGUUUGGAUUCCAACGUCAUCAAUAUUGUCUGCACUGUUGUGGCUUGCUGCAGACUGCACAACUGUUGUGACUCCAAAGGUGUUCCACAUUCUGGAGGACAACAAUCCUAGACGUUCCUGCAUGACAAAGGAACAUUAUUUUCCAAGCUGCUGAUUGGAAGCCAGCUAGCUGUGUAUGCCAGAGAGGUUUUCAAGCUUAUGAUGACCGAGCAACACAUUUACAGGUAUAAGCGAUUGGCACCGGAUCACUGUUCCCUACCAACUGAAGCUGCGUAAAACCGCUUGGACUGGGACACCGUUUCCUGCAGCUCCCAUCGUCCAAGAAUGGCAAUCCACAACCAAUGGGAGCUGCAAUCGCUUGUGUCUGCGGAGGUGCAGAUAAAUAUAGUUGUGGUAGCCUGCCAGGGGCUAACCCUGGUGUACGGCCACUAUUUUAUUGCCUACCCCUGUUAUAGAUCAACCUAAAGGCUGCUCUAAGUAUGCCACCAAGUUAUAUAAAACAGAUUGCUCCAGUCUUGCCUCCAACAGGUCCCCUAUGUUAGCUGCUUCAGAGAGGUAUGUUGUAGGAACUUGGGAGAACCAGUGAAUUUCUGUCCCCUUUGGCAUUUGAGUGGCACGAAGAUCUUAAGUGAAGAAGAGAAUUUUGCUAAUAGCUAUAUUUUAAUUGUAAAACUUGCAUAAUUAUUACCUGUCUCUUCCUAACAAGUGGAGUACCCCCCCCCAGAAAGGUUUUCUCAAUGUGAAAGGAUAGUAUGACAUCAUCUGGAAGGAGGAUUCCAACUAUGGGAUGAUUUUCCUCUGCUGCAGUUGGAUGUUCUCCUCUGAGAUUUUCAUCCUACUCAACAGCAUAGAGGCUGUCAGUCUGGGAUGGAGGGGAACCAUCCUACUGUGCUCCAGAAAGUCUCAUCUAUAUACCUCUUUGCCUUCCUUAUCUCCUCCAGUUCAGCCACUCUUGUUUCCAAAGCCCAUACAUAGUCUCUGAGAGCCCAGAGUUUCUUGCACCCAAUACUCACAUAUGCCACCUGCCAAUUGGAUAGGUAAUCUUCCAUGUGGUUUUCAUGAAAAAAAUAAUUAGCCUUAAUUUAAAUAACGUUUUCUUUAGAUGCAUAUGUAGCUACCUGGCCAGUAUUCACCUAACAGAUGUGAAGGAAAUAAAGUAUGAAAUAGGAGAAAUGUUGAUACGAAUAUGAGAUCUAGCCUUUGAGACCACCGACUACUACUGUGGUGAGAAUUACAGACUAUAUAGGCUUUCCUCAAGCCUGGGGCAAUUUUCAAAUAAAAUAAUAAAUAACAGAAGAGUACUAAUAUGGUAGAUAAGUGUAAGCUGAAUGUCCAAAAAAUGUAUCUCCUGUAAGGAAAAGUCAUGCUAUGUCCAACUAAUAAGAAACACAAUCACGGAGUAUAGGCAAAAAGCCCUAAGCUUUGAUUAAAAAGUAGUGAAACAGGAAAUAAAAGAAUCAUAGUGGAAAGAAGUUGACAAAACUGUACCCCAGAGGCUGAAAUUGGCACUCGCAUUCUUAUUAAUGACUAUAGUAGGUAGAGUGAGCCAGUGAAGUUAAAUGUGUAAUUAUUUUAGAACCAAUAGGAGGGAGUAGUAGAGGUUUUAUAGUAUGAAUGGGAAGGAUUUGUGAUAAAAUGUUAUUAGUUGGGAGUACUGGAAUUCUCUAGAUUAUUACUCCUUUUAUAAUAGGAAACUAAACAUCUUGGCAGCUAUUAUCCCAACAGCAUUUAUACUUAGUGUUCUAUAGCAAACUAAAUUUUGAGCAAUAUUACAUCAAAUAACCAGAAUAAACAUUUUAAUUUUAUAAAAAAGAUGUCUAAUUCUAGUUUUCUUAGUGCAGAAACUUCAACUAUAAAUUAUUCUUAUGUUUCCCAAUCUAUAAUCAGUGGAGAGUCAUAUAAGAAUAUUGAAGUUGGGUGUUUUUGAUCUCCUUCAAAUAACUUACAUCCUAUUAAUACAAUGGAGUACUCAUAUAGGAUUUAAAUACAAACUCUGUAAAUCACUAGAAAGACUCCUAUUCACUUUUUGAGAAAAUGUCUAUUAUUGAAAAAAUGCACCCAUUUUUUAUGGUUUACAUAAUCAGAAAUAAUUAAAACUAUUGAGAGGAAUACAAUCCCAAACAAAAACAAAAGAAUCAUAUAAAAUGUAUUUUUGCAAUACUCUGGCUUCAAUGACUUUCAAAUAUCAAUAAAAUCUUAUACCUUUAAUGAUGCACCAUCUGCAACUGCCUAUUUUAAUAUAUUUUAUACGUAUUGUACAUUUGAUUACUAAAUAAUUAAUAACUUCAUCUUAGUUUUCAGCAGAGAGUCUUUGGAACAAAUCAUAGAUCAAAAUAAUUCACUUAAAGACAGACUGUACACAUGAUAUUCAUCAAAGUCUGUUCUGUGCUUUAAACAAGGCUGCUACAUAUUUACAUCUGUUUAAAAUGUAAAGCAACUAUUCUGGAGGAUAAAACUUUCCAAAAACUUGAGCUUACUUCUGUAUUUGUUCUCAUACUCUCCAUGCAUUCCUAAGACUUUCACAGCAUGAUGUAAGUAACCUAUUCAACUUUACAACAAAGUAGUUUGUUCAUUUUUUAUGGAUUAACUAUUUACAUCUGAUAAAAAUUUUACAACUUUUUAAUGAACUAAGUCUGUCUUCCUAUCUACAGACAUAAUGAAUGGUGUGUACACAAGUCCUUGCAAGACAAAUUCUUUUUUUCUUAGUGCAUUAAAAACAGAUAGAAGAAACAUUCUGUAUUUAUAUCCAGCAUAAAUUAGCUGUUACUAUAAAGAAUAAGGGGGGCUGAUUCCUUACCUUUGUUACCCAAGAUUUUAUAGCAGAGUAACUUGACUGAAAACAUUUAUACCAGCUUAAAACUGAUGUAAUAUAGGGGCAAAAAAUUAAUAAUAUUACACUUCAGAAAGAAUACACCAACCAUUCAAAUUACUUUUAGAAAAAUGCUAAUGUUUUAAUUAAUGUUCAGCAAAAGACUCGACCUCUCUCACUUAGAAGACACUUUGGAAUGCAUUUGAAGAAUAACAAUUUUUAGACAAAAAAAAAUCUCUUGAAGCUAUUUAACUGGAAUAACAAUUGUGCACAAUAUAGCUUCAUUUUUAUUCUGUAAAGAAAAAAUGGUUUGCCCGUUUGCACUCUACUUGCAAAUGUUCUAAAUUUUUUUUAAAAACACAUAUUACAGUGAAAACUUUGUUAUCCAGCACUCAUGGGGAAUGGGGGUUGCUGGUUAAUUACUUUGUCCCUGCCCCCUACUGGCAGUUCUGGCUCCUGGCAUCUUGAGGCAGGCUGAGGGGGAAGGAGGUGCCUGCUGAUGACGUCAGCCGGCAACACCAGUUGUUAGAAGCCUUGCAAUGACUGGUUGGAUAGACAGAAGUCAGGCAUGUGUGCCUGAAGACAUGGCAGUAUUUGUGACUGGGGAUAGUGCCUGUUAACAAAGUUUUCCGAUUAACAGUAUGCUGAAUACAAAGCUUUCUCUGUAUUUUUUUUUUCACAAAUGGAAAUCCUUUAAGCCUAAUUUUUAAGGCAACAUCAACCCGGCACCCAUAUUAUGUACAUGUAUAAAUGCAUGCAUGUGCACAUGCACACACGCCUAUAUACUCACUUUGAGCACAGUAGCAUUGUUGUGAACAGGUGAAAAUAACAUCUAUAUGUAGGGUAAUAGAUUUUGUGAGUGAACAGUUUCCUGCUUAUACAGGUGUUAUAAUGUAUUAUGUAUUACUCCUACUUCUGAAUAUGUUUGUGUGUGUAUAAAUGAAGUGUCACCGUCUAUUCCUUUUCCUCUAUCUGUUUUCCCAUACAAUAUAAAUGUGAUUAUUUCUCACCUUUACCAUGCCUUAAUGAAAAGCCCCUGGAUGUUUAUGUAAGAACAUAGAGGCAUGAACCUACAAGGCACUGCUGGAAACAAAUCUAAGUAGUCACAAAAGAGGUAUAACAAACAAGUUGGCUUUCCUGCACCAUUCCAUAGUAUGCUUCAAAUCUGAUAGGAAAUUAUAGCCUCCAGAGUGACAGGGCAGUUCAGUUUCCAUGUCUAUUAAUUGCUGGGCAUGACUUUGGAGAAAUUGUGAUGCUGAGGCCAGUCUUUUGUACACUAGUCAUGAAGAUGAACAUAGGCAUCUGGUACCUUAGUUGCCUUCCCAAACCACCAGGUAUGGCCCCACCCACACUCCACUCCCAGAACGCCUGCUGUAGGUAUACUGAGGGCAUAGUAUUGCUGCCCCCGAGCACCUGCCAUCCCCAUGCUCCAGGGCCGGGAGGUUGGAGCCACAUACCCUUGUUCCUCGCCAG